GCUUGAUCUGUUGACCAAAACUCUAGAGACAUCUUAGAUCCCUUUCUGUUACCACAAGAGGGUGUUUUAAAACUACCUUGCAAGUUCUCAUAACUAAAUACACUUAAAUCUCCAUUUGCUCUAAAACCAAGGCAGCAUGUCACAUGCAGAGCGGGCACAGUGCAUUUCAAAGGCUGACCUGACAGAGGGUGACCAGCAGCUGCGCAGGCGGGACAUUUGCCUUCUGUGUGUUCUUGGCUCCCCGACUCAGCCCUCCCGUGGUUUAUGGCAAGCGGUGCCUGAGCCCGUGCCUGUCUUCAGAUGUUCACAGCACAGUUCCUGGGAAGGUGGAGCCACCAGCCUCUCCCUGACAAGCAAAGUGGAUCCACAAAGGCUGCAGUCACCAGCAUCUUUUCCAUCCUUAAUUAACGGCAUCCUCAAAAGGACACGAUCAGACUGGUAAGACAAGCACUAUUGUCCCACUUCACAGAUGAAGAGCUUGGGGGCCCUGUGGAUGUGUAGGA
rnacentral:lncRNA from 1 species